rnacentral:tRNA from 2 species
GGAGAGGUGGCCGAGAGGCUGAAGGCGCUCCCCUGCUAAGGGAGUAUAGAGUUUAUAGCUCUAUCGGGGGUUCGAAUCCCCCCCUCUCCGCCA